CUUAGUAGUCUAGUUGGUUAGGAUACUCAGCUCUCACCCGAGAGACCUGGGUUCAAGUCCCGACAAAG
rnacentral:tRNA from 1 species